AUGAUGUGGUUAAUUCGAUGCAACGCGAAAACCUUACCACCUUUGACAUGGCAGGAAUCCUGAAGAGAUUUGGGAGUGCUCGAAAGAGAACCUGCACACAGGUGCUGCAUGGCUGUCGUCAGCUCGUGUCGUGAGAUGUUGGGUUAAGUCCCGCAACGAGCGCAACCCUUGCCAUUAGUUGCUACGAAAGGGCACUCUAAUGGGACUGCCGGUGACAAACCGGAGGAAGGUGGGGAUGACGUCAAGUCCUCAUGGCCCUUAUAGGUGGGGCUACACACGUCAUACAAUGGCCGGUACAGAGGGUAGCCAACCCGCGAGGGGGAGCCAAUCCCACAAAGCCGGUCGUAGUCCGGAUCGCAGUCUGCAACUCGACUGCGUGAAGUCGGAAUCGCUAGUAAUCGCGGAUCAGCAUGUCGCGGUGAAUACGUUCCCGGGUCUU
rnacentral:rRNA from 1 species